AGCAUUCAAACAGACAUCUGCGAGAUACCGUCGUGGUUAUGUGGGUUCAUCUAGCACUACCGCUCCAACUCCGGCGUGGCAGCAAGCGAUGACAAAUGUGAAAUCAAAACUAAAUGCACUAAUUAGCUUAUAUGAAAGGAACAUAGGGAAUAUCCCCGAGGAGUUUGCUCACUUAUUUUCCACUCCUCCACAGGCACCAGAUUUAGGAAGUGAUGCACCAGUUGAACCAAGAAGAUCUUUAGAUGAAAGUAACAAUGAUGAUCGUCCAAGUGUGAAUUAGUGAUUAUUUUAUAGGGUCAACUAUGGAUCUUUUGGAUAUUACUGUGGAAAUACACUUUUAAGCAUUAAUAUUUGGAUGAUGUAAUUUUGGUAUACUUGUGUAAGUGUGAAUUUGUGAUUAUUUUGUUGGAUCAACUAUGAAUCUUUUGGAUA